CACGAAACGUUUGUUCGCCACCACCGGCCACAGCAACCUAACUAAAUGUAUUAUAUUUUUUGUAUUUUUAUAAUUGAUGAUAAAUAUACACAAAUAUUUAUUGUUUUUAUCAAAAAUCACAAAUAUACAAUAAAUAUAAUGUACCUAACUUAGGUUGCUGUGGCCUGUGGUGGCGAACAAACGUUUUGUG